ACAAUAUUCAGAGCGUCGGUCUACCGAGCAACAUCACCCGCUCGGUGGAAGAUCUGUCCUUUUGUCGU
rnacentral:pre_miRNA from 1 species